CUUUCGGAACCAUCCACAUGACAACCAUACAAGAGACAGAAAGGAUGCCCCAGUUAACCCAACAAUCAAGGGGAAAAAGUGGGAAAUCUCUAAGAUGAAAAAUGAGAUUGUCUCAGACCAUCAUCUUUCAUCCAGAUGUCAACAGAUCACUGACAUUUCUCAAUCAACAACCUUGUGCCAAGAAAUAUCCAAUAUCCUGAUUUCAUCAACAAUGCCCCAGACCACAGAGCAGAUUCUGCUGGCAAUAUCUCCAUUUGCCAGGCCGCCUCUCCCAAUGACAACAACAUUUAACAAGCCUACGUCUGAAAAACCUGUGUCAAAGAUACCUGCAACCCCAAGAGAAGCACCAGCCCUGUCCAUCUUUACAACUAAUCCUCAAGUAUCAUUUCAGAAUACUUCU